AAAAAAAAAAAGACUAAGAAUCACAGGCACUGCUGUGGGAUCAAUACUGAAGAAAAGACAGUCUCUCUUCAGUAAGUAGUUUUGAGAAAACUGGAUAGCUACAUGUAAAAGAAUGAAACAGAACACUCUCUAACAACAUACACAAAAAUAAACUAAAAAUGAAUUACAGACCUAAAUGCAAGACUGGACACUAUUAAACUCUUAGAGGAAAACGUAGGCAGAACACUGACAUAAAUCGCAGCAAUAGCGAGGCUUCGCGGUCAACGGCUUCUUUGCGGGCCCCGCCGCAGCCGACCUGGCUCCUUGGUGGAGAGAAGAUGGUGGGCCAGAACAGCGCCAUUGCUGCUGGAGUGUGUGGGGCCCUUUUCAUCAGUUAUUGCAUUUACUUCGACUGCAAGAGACGGAGUGACCCCAACUUCAAGAACAGGCUGCGAGAACGAAGAAACAAACAAAAGCUUGCCAAGGAGAGAGUUGGGCUUUCCAAGCUACUUGACCUAAAAGAUGCUGAAGCCGUUCAGAAAGUCUUUCUAGAAGAAAUACAGCUUGGUGGAAGAAUUACUAGCUCAAGGUGAGUAUGAGAAGGGUGUGGACCAUCUGACAAAUGCGACUGCUGUGUGUGGACAGCCACAGCAGUUAAUGCAAGUGUUGCAGCAAACUCUUCCACCACCAGUGUUCCAGAUGCUCCUAAGCUCCCAACAAUUAGAGAACUGUAAGUGCUCAGAGCUUGGCUGAAGAUGCUGUGGAAUGAGAAACAAAUGUCA